UCCGGCCCCCUAUCUCCGCAGCCUCUUCUCCCGCCUUGCAGGUGCCCUCCAACUCAAGAGGGCUGAGGGCGAGCACGGUGGCGCAUGGCGACUGAGGGUGAGUGCAGCUGACGACGCCACAUGACGAACCCAACCGGCUGCAUGUUAUCUUCCCCCCAAACCCUAAAAUUUCCCCAUCUCUUUCUACAAAUCCAUCUACAUGUUUUCAGAUCGGGGAUUUUGUCCUUUUAGGCGUGUUAAAUUUCAAACAUGGGAAUUAGAGAUCGGGGAUUUUGUCUUUGCCUGCCAUGUUUGUACAAAUUAUGCUAAAUGGACAAAUGAGAACACUAGGACAGCUGCUUGUGUAGAGACUGAAUGACACUGUUGCAUAACACUGUUGCUGGAUCUCCUCUCUCUUGAGACAGGGUUAUCUUUAAAUCAGUGCAAGUACGUACUGUGUUCUCAACAAGAAUUGAAAACCCAAAUAUGGAUUUAGUUGGGCAUGAUGUGUCCAUUAAGGUAAGCGAUCACCCACAUAACCCCCACAAAUAAUAGCUUCAGAACAAGUAGAUUGUUACAUCUGAAGAAAUAUCAUAUCACUCCUGGGCAUAUAUUCCAUAUGGACAAUAUGAUCGAACUUGUGAAGCAUCAGACAUGCAGAAUUAAUUUUUUUCCCCUUAUUUUCUUGAUUUUGCUGCAAUUAUAAGUAAGCAUUGUUAAUAUGAUCCCAUGGCGUGUAAUAGCAGUUCUGAACUGAUAGAUACCUGCACCCUCAAGAAAAUGGUUUCUACCGUCAGAGUAACAGAUCAUUUGUCGAGGUUGGAAUUGCUGCGGGAUCAAGCGAAGCCUCGUCAGGCCAUGCCCUCGUCUCAUUCCUCAGUUUAUAGAGUCCAUUCCAAGCAGAAUAUAACCAAUGCCAGUAUUUUGGAAUGAGCGCAGAAUUGAUCCGUCACUUCUGAAGAAACUCCGUUACUUAGCAGAAGCAGAGGCCACAACCUGGCAGCGGCUGGUCACUUCAGCGGUCUCCAAUUGCCUUUGAAUACGCCAAUGGUAAUUUCAAAAAUCUCCAAGUAGUCCACUAAUUUUAUUACUUACAUUUUUUUUCAUCUAAAGCAAAAUUGAAAACAUAUGUUUCCUUGUAAUUCUAAAUUUGACUGCACAUAUUUUGAUUUUUGAUGAGUACUGCUCGAUAGAUUCAAAACGGCCAUGAGUUUUUUUUUUGAGUUGAAGUGGCAAGAGCAUUGCCGAAUAUAUUAGACGAAUAGAGUUCACCCUGUUUAUAAGGAAAACCGGGCCCAAAAAACAUACAACUGCCCGGUUUGCUAAAGUGAAACCAGCGAAAACCUUACACAGAAGACACAAAAAGCCUGAGACAAGACAACUACGAACUGUCGGAGGCCGAGGGAUGAGCAAGACCGUAAGAUGAAAUCUCCAAGGAGGUGAAUAACGACAUAAGCCGCUGUCGACGUCCGUCCAAAAACUGGGCUGGUUUUCACCCAGGGGGGAGGGAGUCCACAAGGCAACACCUCCAGGGAGGAAACGGCACCCGUGGGCGUCGAUAUUGCCAAUCCUAGAACAGGCAGGGCAUGAGGUUUUUGGGAACUAGCAAUUAUUGAUUUUGAUUGUUGAUGAUGAAGAGUUCUGACUAUCUACAUGGGUUAGUUUCUUGUUCAACAAAUUCAGGAAAUAGUUUCAGCUCAUCAGAAGUUUGCAUCGAUGUCAUCCCUUCUAGCCAUCUUCUGUGCAUUUGCUUGGAACAUUUGGUUCUGCACUACCGUUGACUAUAAAAUACAGCUCAACAGAGCUUUAUUUUCUCACA